GUAGUGAUGGUUCAGUGGUUAAGAGCACUGAAUGAUCUUCAGGAGGACCUGGGUUCAAUUCCCAGCAUCCACA
rnacentral:tRNA from 1 species